rnacentral:rRNA from 1 species
AUUGAACGCUGGCGGCAUGCCUUACACAUGCAAGUCGAACGGUAACAGGUCUUCGGAUGCUGACGAGUGGCGAACGGGUGAGUAAUACAUCGGAACGUGCCCGAUCGUGGGGGAUAACGGAGCGAAAGCUUUGCUAAUACCGCAUGCGAUCUACGGAUGAAAGCAGGGGACCGCAAGGCCUUGCGCGGACGGAGCGGCCGAUGGCAGAUUAGGUAGUUGGUGGGAUAAAAGCUUACCAAGCCGACGAUCUGUAGCUGGUCUGAGAGGACGACCAGCCACACUGGGACUGAGACACGGCCCAGACUCCUACGGGAGGCAGCAGUGGGGAAUUUUGGACAAUGGGCGAAAGCCUGAUCCAGCCAUGCCGCGUGCAGGAUGAAGGCCUUCGGGUUGUAAACUGCUUUUGUACGGAACGAAAAGACUCCUUCUAAUAAAGGGGGUCCAUGACGGUACCGUAAGAAUAAGCACCGGCUAACUACGUGCCAGCCGCCGCCGAACAC